AUGACCUGGAGGGCCCUUCUCCUCAGCCUCCUGGCUCAUUGCACAGGAUCUGUAGCCUCAUAUGUGCUGACUCAGUCACCCUCAGUAUCGGUGACCCCAGGACAGACAGCCAGAAUCACCUGUGAAGGCAACAACAUUGGAAGUAAAAUUGCACACUGGUACCAGCAGAAGUCACAACAGGCCCCUCUGCUGGUCAUCUACGGAGAUAGCAACCAACCCUCUGGGAUCCCAGACCGAUUCUCUGGCUCCAACUCUGGGAACACAGCCACCCUGACCGUCAGUGGGGCCCAGGCUGGAGAUGAGGCUGACUAUUACUGUCAGGUGUGGGAUAGCAGUGCUGCUCACAGUGACACAGACAGACAGGGAAGUGAGACAGAAACCUCCACCAGCCUGGUACCCACGGCCCUUCCUGCCCUUGUCACCCUCACAGGAGAGAGCUUGACAAGUAGAAUGGAGCAAGUCUCUACUCCCACCCCUGACCCCACUUUCCUGAGAGAAAAGGGGAAGGUUCCUGUAUCUCUCCAGGAUCUUUUGACUCCUUUUGAUUCCUUUGGAACCUGA